rnacentral:lncRNA from 1 species
GGGCCGGGACAAAGCCUGGGCCGGGCCUGCGCUUCCAUUCGCUUGACUGGCUGCGCUUGUUUUCAGGGUUUUGGUCUGAAAACGGAUCUUACCUGCGCAGAGCAAAAUCGGUUGUAGAUUAUAUCCACGAAAAUUCCUUCUAUUAAAAUGAAUUUCAAGUCCCACCUACCCUGGAAGCAGAAAGAGAGAGAAGAGAGAGAGUAAAGAGAAAGAGAAAAGAAAGAGAAGUUGAAAAAGAGAAAGAAAACCAAGAAAGAAAGAGAAAAAAACCGAAAAUAAAUGGACAAGAAAGAAAAAGAUGUAGUCUGGUUUUGUUGCCCAGGCUGGUCUCCAGCUUCUAGCCUCAAGCAGUCUUCCCAUCUGCUCCUACCAAAGUGCUCGGAUUAUAGGCAUGAGUCACCUUGCAUGGGAGAUAAGGACCCCACAUCAAGCCCUCAGGUCACUGGGAUCCCGGACUAUGGCACUGCUCCAGGCAGGCCUGGUUAUCCUGCUUGAGGCAGCAAUCCUCUUGAGCCUAGUGAAAUGCAACUGGCUGUACCUCAGUGAUGUUGCCCUGAGAUUCCGCCAGUCGAGGCCAACGUGCCAUGCAUCCCUGGAGCAUGAAACCCAGGAUGGGCCGCCUUCCAGCCUCCCGCAGCUGUGAUGCAAGUUGAACACAUACAGAGAGACUGCAUCUGCACUGGGUGGUUUUCCUGAGCCUUGGGGAGCAGAAUGCAUGAAUCCCAGAUGGAGGAAGUGGACCAUGAGUCAAAGGAUAUAAGUGGCCUCUGGAACUUACAAAGGGCUUAUAAACAGAAGAGACUUGCUUGUCUCAGAUGAAACUUUGGACUGUGGACUUUUGAGUUAAUGCUGAAAUAAGUUAAGACUUUGGGGGACUGUUGGGGAGGCAUGAUUGGUUUUGAAAUGUGAGGACAUGAGAUUUGGGAGGGACCAGGGGCAAAAUGAUAUGGUUUGGCUGUGUCCCCACCAAAUCUCAUCUUGAAUUGCAGCUCCCAUGAUCCCCACAUGUGGGAGGGACCCGGUGGGAGGUAACUGAAUCAUGGGGGUGGGAUUUUCCUGUGCUGUUCUCAUGA